rnacentral:rRNA from 1 species
CGGCGAUGGAUUAGGCAUGCAAGUCGAACGGGAGCAGCAAUGCGUCCAGUGGCGCAAGGGUGAGGAACACGUGAACAACCUGCCUUCGAGUUGGGGAUAGCUUCUGAAACGGGAGAUAAUACCGAAUAACAUCAUUGGAUCGCAUGAUUUGAUGAUCAAAGCAGCAAUGCGCUUGAAGAGGGGUUCGCGUCCCAUUAGCUAGUUGGUGAGGUAACGGCCACCAGGGCGAUGAUGGGUAGCUGGUCUGAGAGGACGAUCAGCCACAUUGGGACUGAGAUACUGCCCAGACUCCUACGGGAGGCUGCAGUCGAGAAUUUUGGGCAAUGGACGAAAGUCUGACCCAGGCCAAUGCCGCGUGCGGGAUGAAGGUCUUCGGAUUGUAAACCGCUGUCAAGAGGGACGAAACAUGACGGUACCUCUGGAGGAAGCCACGGCUAACUACGUGCCAGCAGCGGC